AUUGAACGCUGGCGGCAGGCCUAACACAUGCAAGUCGAGCGGAUGAAGGGAGCUUGCUCCUGGAUUCAGCGGCGGACGGGUGAGUAAUGCCUAGGAAUCUGCCUGGUAGUGGGGGAUAACGUCCGGAAACGGGCGCUAAUACCGCAUACGACCUGAGGGAGAAAGUGGGGGAUCUUCGGACCUCACGCUAUCAGAUGAGCCUAGGUCGGAUUAGCUAGUUGGUGGGGUAAAGGCCUACCAAGGCGACGAUCCGUAACUGGUCUGAGAGGAUGAUCAGUCACACUGGAACUGAGACACGGUCCAGACUCCUACGGGAGGCAGCAGUGGCGAAUAUUGGACAAUGGGCUAAAGCCUGAUCCAGCCAUGCCGCGUGUGUGAAGAAGGUCUUCGGAUUGUAAAGCACUUUAAGUUGGGAGGAAGGGCAGUAAGUUAAUACCUUGCUGUUUUGACGUUACCAACAGAAUAAGCACCGGCUAACUUCGUG
rnacentral:rRNA from 1 species